AUUGAACGCUGGCGGCAGGCCUAACACAUGCAAGUCGAGCGAGCGGCGGACGGGUGAGUAAUGUCUGGGGAUCCGCCCGAUAGAGGGGGAUAACUACUGGAAACGGUGCCUUAUACUCCAUACUAUAGGAUGAACGCCUAUGGGCUUAGCUAGUAGGUGGGGUAAUGGCCUACCUAGGCGACGAUCUCUAGCUGGUCUGAGAGGAUGAUCAGCCACACUGGUACGGAUACACGGCCCAGACUCCUACGAGAGGCAGCAGUGGGGAAUAUUGCACAAUAGGCGCAAGCCUGAUGCAACCAUGCCGCGUGUAUGAAGAAGGCCAUAGGGUUGGAAAGUACUUUCAGCGGGGAGGCGUUACCCGCAGAAGAAGCACCGGCUAACGCCGUGCCAGCAGCCGCGGUAAUUC
rnacentral:rRNA from 1 species